CACAGUCUCUGUACAAAAACACAAGCUGACACACUGACAAGCUGCUGGAAGCCUUUUUUCCACACUGUUGUACUGAACUUUUUACCUCCACUAGAGGGCCACAUCAUCAAGUAGACGGUGCACUACUUCUGCACUGUGUUCAACCAUUCUGUCAAUAAUAACUGCUGCUGUGAAGAGAACAAUUCUCAGACUGAAUGUUGAACAUCAGAUAGUUUCUCCUGUUGAUUUAAACCUUGUUGUAGAGAUGGAACAUUGGCUGUGGAUUAUUCUUGCUGCUCUUUUCUUUGAGUGUAAAGGACAAGACAGCGUGACCCAGCCAACAGGAGAUGUCAUUGCUGCUGAAGGAGACACAGUUACACUUGGCUGUACAUUUAAGACCAGUGACACAAAUUCAUACUUAUUCUGGUACAAACAAGAAGUAAAUGAUUUCCCAAAGUUUAUGCUGCGGCGUUACAUGUCUGGAGGAGGAGAUAAUGCUGCAGAGUUCCAGAAAGACAGAUUUGAUGCUACAUUGAACAAAACAUCAGUUCCUCUGAAGAUCCAGAAGCUGCAGCUGUCUGACUCUGCUGUGUACUACUGUGCUCUGUUGAGCUGGGAUCCAAUAUCAGCUGCAGUACUUAGACUGUCUUUUAAUGUGAGUGAAGAUAAAAUCCAUCUGCAGAUCUCCUCUGCUGCAGUGACAGACUCUGCUCUGUACUACUGUGCUGUG